rnacentral:rRNA from 1 species
AGGAUAAACGCUGGCGGCGUGCCUAACACAUGCAAGUCGAACGCGCUUGCUAUCCGCGAGGACGGUGAGCGAGUGGCGGACGGGUGAGGAACACGUGGGUGACCUACCUUUCAGUGAGGGAUACCGGCGAGAAAUUGCCGACAAGACCGCAUACGCUUCUCUUUUCAAGGGGAGAAGGAAAGCUUUUCGCAAGAGAGGCGCUGGGAGAUGGGCCUGCGGCCGAUUAGCUAGCUGGUGGGGUAAUGGCCUACCAGGGCGACGAUCGGUAGCUGGUCUGAGAGGACGAUCAGCCACACUGGGAUUGAGAACGGCCCAGACUCCUACGGGGGGCAGCAGUGAGGAAUUUUCGGCAAUGGGGGCAACCCUGACCGAGCAACGCCGCGUGCAGGACGACGGCCUUCGGGUUGUAAACUGCUUUCUCUGGGACGAGCAAGGACGGUACCAGAGGAAGAAGCCCGGCUAACUACGUGCCAGCAGCCGCGGU